rnacentral:rRNA from 1 species
UACGGGGGGUGUAAGCGUUGUUCGGAAUUACUGGGCGUAAAGGGCGUGCAGGCGGUCGCCGCAAGUUGAAUGUGAAAUCCCUGGGCUUAACCUAGGACGUGCGUUCAAGACUGCGGGACUUGAAUACGGGAGAGGGUCGUGGAAUUCCUGGUGUAGAGGUGAAAUUCGUAGAUAUCAGGAGGAACACUCGUGGCGAAGGCGACGACCUGGACCGAUAUUGACGCUGAGACGCGAAAGCGUGGGUAGCAAA